rnacentral:lncRNA from 10 species
AUUACAACAAAAACUGGCGGCGAGGAACUGCGGAGAACUGUUGCCCUGCACCGCUUCAUUUUGUGCAGCCUGAAAGGGGCAAUCACAUAAGCUGGGUGUGAUGGCAGGCGCCUGUAGUCCCAGCUACUCGGGAGGCUGAGGCAGGAGAAUCGCUUGAACCCAGGAGGCGGAAGUUGCAGUGCGCCGAGAUCACGCCAGUGCACUCCAGCCUGGGCGACAGAGUGAGACUCCGUCUCCCCGCUCCCCCCAAAAAAGAAAGAGAUAGCUGCUAUGGCUGGGCGAUCUCAGAGGAUCGCCUGAGUCGCUCACGCCUGUAAUCCCAGCACUUAGGAGGCCGAGGCGGGUGGAUCACCUGAGGACAUGUACUUGUAGACAGGAUUCAAAGCAGUUAAGAAUGUCUCUGCCAAGUCGACAAACAGCUAUUAUUGUUAACCCUCCUCCACCAGAAUAUAUAAAUACUAAGAAAAAUGGGCGAUUGACAAAUCAACUUCAGUAUCUACAAAAAGUUGUCCUAAAGGAUUUAUGGAAGCAUAGUUUUUCAUGGCCCUUU